UAGGGAAUAUUGGACAAUGGGUGCAAGCCUGAUCCAGCCAUGCCGCGUGCAGGAAGAAGGCCUUCUGGGUUGUAAACUGCUUUUACCAGGGGAUAAAAGCCCAUGCGUGGGAAAUUGAAGGUACCUGGUGAAUAAGCCACGGCUAACUACGUGCCAGCAGCCGCGGUAAUACGUAGGUGGCAAGCGUUGUCCGGAUUUAUUGGGUUUAAAGGGUGCGUAGGUGGUCUAUUAAGUCAGUGCUGAAAUAUCCCGGCUUAACCGGGAGGGUGGCAUUGAUACUGAUGGACUUGAGUAAAGUUGAGGUAGGCGGAAUUGACGGUGUAGCGGUGAAAUGCUUAGAUAUCGUCAAGAACACCGAUAGCGAAGGCAGCUUACUAAGCUUUAACUGACGCUGAGGCACGAAAGUGUGGGGAUCAAACAGGAUUAGAUACCCUGGUAGUCCACACUGUAAACGUUGAUGACUCGAUGUUAGCGAUAUACAGUUAGCGUCUUAGAGAAAUCGUUAAGUCAUCC
rnacentral:rRNA from 1 species